GUAGGUGAACCUGCGGAAGGAUCAUUACUUACACUAAGGGAACGUCCAGGCCUAAAGCAUUAAAUUAAUGCGAUUAAAAGUCGGGGCGCCCCUAUCGGGUGUUGGCGCGGCCUCAGUGUUCCCCAAUUUCGAGAGGACCCAAGGAAGGUGCUCACUGUUAACCGGUGGGGUAAUCCCUUUGUGCCCAUCAUAAGAUGCGGUCAUAAACUUGCGCGAGCCUCUAAUUGGCGAGUGACACGGGGCAGCUUGG
rnacentral:misc_RNA from 1 species